rnacentral:lncRNA from 1 species
CAGUGUCUCAGGCCACUUCCUGUUGACUGCUCAAGAUAGAGCACUCUCAGCUAUCUUUCCAGCACCAUGUCUGCCUGCUUGUGACCCUGUUGUGCCAAGAUGAUAAUGGACUAAACAUCUGAAAAUGAGAAUACAAACCAAUACAAGACACUUUGAUUUCUGGUAUUCCAACUUCUAGCCCUGCAGAAGGUUUCAAACUGGAUCCACACAGUGGGUUCAGGGCUAACACUGUUCCCCUUUACCGUGUAACUCUUACCCUGGGCAGCAGGCAAAGUCUCAGGUCAUAGAUGCCCUUACCUAGCCCUGCUGAGGAUUUACGAAGUUUUGGAGUCAAACACCGCAGUCCAAAGCUCGCAUACCCACUACUUGCACGGGUGGAACUCCCUAAGGAUUUAUCUCUGCCAAGCACGGUAUGGGUCAUUAGUUUAUACCCCUAAACGGCUGCUGGACCUUGGGGGAAAUCCGCCAAGCUCACAAAGCUGCUGCCACUGAUGUGUUGGUGGCUUCUACCAUCCACCUGAAGGGACGGACCAUCUUUGUUCCUGGCUUGUCUGCCCUUUGAGUUUGGAAUCAGCGCUAGCAUACACACUCCCAGGAGCUCAAGGACUGGACCGAAUAGCAGCCUGGUGCAUCAAGAAGUCAAAAUUUGGGGGCUGGAGAGAUGGCUCAGAGGUAAAGAGCACUGAAUGCUCUUCCAGAGGAUCUGAGUUCAAUUUCCAGCAACCAUAUGGUGGCUCAUGACCAUCUAUAAUGACAUCUGGUGCCCUCUUCUGGUGUGCAGGCAUACACGGAGGCAGAAUGUUAUAUACAUGAUAAAUAAAUAAAUAAAAUCUUUUUUAAAA